GUGCCUCAGGCAGUAGGAGAAAAAAAGGAUCUUCCUCUCUGCCCUAUUGACCUCAGAAGUCCAUAUGUCCAGGAGUGGGAGGAGAAAAAACCCUGAGCGGAGCAGGAACGAUUAAAAAGCAAGGAGAGACACUGUGUGAGAAACAGAACCUCGGGCUGUUACCUGCAGCUUGACAACAACCAAAAAAAUCGAAACGUUCUGUUUAUGAAACACGUAGCACAACAUUCUACAAUAUCUGUAGAAUAACACCAGAAUUCAGAACCUCCUCAGCUUAAGAGUGGGACAGUAUGAGAAAUUUGAGGCACUAUAACUGUACAAUCCAGUAUUAUGCUGACUUCUGAAUGAUAUUUAUCGGCAAUAAAAAGAACACAGUAUCCAUCUUUCUACUACAGACACCAUCAUUCGGGGGCACAGAAUUGUUUUGAGGCAAUUAAGCCAUAAGGACUCUGAAAUAGAAAACUAUUCUGAUUAGUCUACCCAUGGGGACAAUUUUAGAACCUCGUUUAACGAACUGGAAAGUGUUUUAAAUGUAUAUAAUGUAUUUUUCAAUAGCAGACAUGAUGUUGGACUGUAAAACCAGUGCAGAGUGUUUGGAAGGGCCAUAUUUUAAGUACUGGAUUCAUUUGAACUACUUUUGUAAAAAGAGCAAAUACACGGUGGUGAAAAAGGCCCGAACGCAGCAGAUAGAGAUUAUCACAGCACCACAUUCUACAUCUCGUACUCAUUUUCUGGAGCCGGAACCGGGACCCAAACUGUCGAUCCACGUCCAUGUAACGAUACAUGCGACCAUGUGACAUUUAGACAUUUAGACCAAUCAGAAUAAAAGAUAUGGUGGUCAGAAGAUCUUUUUGGAAGCUCACUCACACUGUUGUCUCUGAACUCAAACCACCUUGUCUUUCUUGCCUUUAAAGUUUUUGUUACAGAACUUGUAGUAAUACUAUUUUCUCAGUAUCCCUGUACUUAACAGACAUCACACGGACAAAAAAAAAAAAAAAAAAAUUUAAAAGACCUUUACAGUCUGCACAUCGCCCGGCAGUUCACACAGCAUCCUUUAGAUGUUCAACAACUACAAAGCUGUGGUUACUCAAGGGUAUAAUCUGCUAAUUAAGAUGGCUAUUUUAAUGGAUACCCUAGUUAGAUGUAGGUUUAAUUAAAUACUUUCCUCUAAUUAAUUUACAAUGUACCACUUGUAUGGGCUGACAGUUAACAUAUAUUUGACAAGUGUGCAUUAGUGAACGUUUACAGCUUUGUUGGCAUGUAUGAAAUUAGCACCAUUUUCAUUUUCACCAUUUUUCAAAUUUUAGUCAAUUUAUGAGAAUUGUGAAUCACUACCAUGUUAGUCAAAACUUUUUUCUCAUACCAGUAAAUUUUCACAACCCUACCUCACCCAAUAAUAUAAGACUAUCUGCCCACACCCCACCUAAUUUAGCCUCUAGUUUCGUUAUAAACCACUCAUGACUGUUAGCAUAAAUGUUGGAAUUUUCCCCUUUUCACCUUUGUAAAGCAUCUCUGGAUUUGUGUAAUGUGCUAUAAACAAAUAAACCUAAUUUAUUAGUUAGAACGGUCCAUCAAUACAUUCUCAACAUAUUUAUGUUUGCGGUAUUUGGCAGACGCACCUAUCUAGAGAAACUUAGAGAAGUGAAAGGACAUUGCAUUUCUCAUUUAUCACAUUAAGUCUCCUGCCUUAACCACUGAGCUACCACUGCCCUGUUUGAUGCCAAUGAGUUCAAAACAGCAGAAAUUCAAGGACAGGUGAGAAAUCCUGAGCUCUCUCCAAGAAAGAGAUAUCAGAAAUGUUAUUAACCCGGGUCAUCUCAGAAGCACAUGUGUGCAUGUUAAGCAUGUAACAAACAGCUUGGGCUGAAAUAUCCCUCCAGUAAUAGCCAGAAAUCCAUCUCACCUGCGUGGCCCUCAUCAGCACAAACCUCGCUCUUCAGAGAAUGAAAUGGGAAGAAAUGAGUUGGGGAAAAACAAGAAAAGUUCUGUCGUUGUAAUCUGUAGGUGAUAUGCUGAAGAAGCAGCCCUGACUUGGACAUUUAAAAAAAGUGGAUAAAACAUAUGUGGACCAGUCUACCAGCCCUCAGAACAAAGCAGCUUGAGUAGAAAAUAAAACUAUACAACAGCUUCAGGAAUGAUAUUUCAUUGCCUAUGUACAAUAUGUACGACACUGGACAAUUUGGUUGGACAAUUUGAUGCCUUAUUUCUUCAGACAUUUGGUUCCCUUUGUUCCCAGAAUUCUCACUCUCUUUGUUUGCACUGAAUGAAAUGAAAAUUAUGUAGAAAAAUUAUACACCUAUUUGCUAUAAACAAUGCAAAAUAAAAAAAAAAAAAUCUGUUUUUAUUUCACUCACGUAGAAGUGUGUAAAUUGAUUUUUACCAUCAUCAGUCAAUCAGUGACAUGACGCCAUAAACAGGAAAUACUUCACCCAUGAUCGAGACGCAGGGAAACAGUUAACGUCUGCAUUUAUCAAGCAACAGAGGCAUUUUAAUAAUGUACCAUAGCAACGAAAGAAAACGAGGCGGCCUUAACCCUAAUGUGAACAUGCUAAACAGUAGAAUAAAACAUUACAUUUACAUACAGUAACUUGUUUUUAAUACACAAAAUACUAGGAGUUAGGUGUAAGUUUUCAUUUAUAAUUUAAGGUGACAUUAAAAUGACUAUUUGGUGCAACUGGUAAUAUUUUUAGUAGUGCAUAAACUCAAACACAGUGGCCAUUUCCUUUCAAACGAGGCAGUGAUAUAGCUUAUGUUCUACUCCUGCUGCUGGAGUCUACUCAGCAUGUCAAAAAUCCAUCCUGGAUGGAACGCCAGUCCACUGCAUCUAUUCAAAUGUUGACACACAAAAUAUUAAUUUCCUGCAUUCAACAGUAUUUCUGACCCAGAAUAGCAACUCAGCUUUAUGCUAAAGCUGAACAAAAAGAGUCACUAAGAAUCAAUAAGAACCAUGUUAGAAUUUAGUAAUGUGAUUUAAUUUGGUUAUGUCUUUUAUAAUGAAAUGAAUAUUCAGAGAAAUAAAAGCGAAAUGAACAAAUUAGCUGUACAAAUGAUCAUGCCACAAACUCACUAAAAGCACUGCUCUCACACAGUUAAUAGCUGUAUUGCAAAUGAUUAAAGAACCCUAGAAAUAAAAUGGCCCAAAAAGCCCAGGCCUAGAGGCUGCACUGAGUGGAAGCUCAUGUGGAGAGGAUUAAAGAAAGCGUGAUUUUGAAUCUGUGAUCUGCACAUGCCACUCAGCCAUGAGUGAAGAGUCAUCACUGGAGAGCACAGACUGGGAGAUCAGCUGCUUGAGCGCUGGCAGGAGGACAAGAGCGAUAAAGUACGGAGGAAACCGCCUGUGCUCGAAAUACCUCUUGGUUUAUCUCAUCAGACCGUAAGAUGGUACCUGAUCUGCAGUGGUGGAGAGCACACUGUGCUACUUUACAUUAAAGACACACAGCAUGAUCCCCUGAUGAAUGGACUGUGAAGGCACUGAAUAUUCCUGUCUACAUGGUUGUUAAGAUUUCGCUGGCCUUCUGGCAUGGAAAAAGGAUUAAAAUGAUGACACCAGCUUGGCUACAUAGCAGAGGAAGGAGGAACUGAUGACACAUGGACAUGGAGAGGCAGAAAAAGAGACAGAUAAUACUUAGUAUCAUGAACACUCCAGAUAUGAGGUUGAGCAUUACGUGCUCCAAAGUGAAUGUAUAAAAGCUGAGUCUCAGCCUCAGAUGUCUAACGUGUAUCAAACCCGUAGCUGACCACAACAGUUGGAUUACUGCCUUUCCAAAAUUGUGUCCAUGCACUACAGCAAUUUUAUCAGUGAUUUUAGCUUUCAAUCACAGCAAUUUUUUUUCAAAUUAUGAUAUAGCUCAUUGCAAAGGUUUUUGUUGCAGAAGACCAAAAUCCAAGACGAUAGCAACAUGAGGAAAUGUCAAAAUUUUGAAAAGGAAAUUGGGGGGGGGAGGGGGGGGGGGUUUACAUACGACAACUGUGAAGCUCCAAAAGCUUUUUUACAUUGGAGAAUGUAAUAAAGGCAAAGAGUAGGAAUACAAGCUAAUAGAGAAUGCAUCCCAUUGAGAGAGGGAUGCAGAAACCUUUGAACUGAUAAUAACAUUCAUUCAUUCCCCUCUUAACAUACACCAUUUGCUACUUGUGGUAAUAUCUGCAAAACCACGUUCUUCAUAAAGGGCUGUAUUCAGUUUUAGGGACUUAAGUUCAAAAGUUACAUCAGUUUUUACGCUGGGGAAAGUUACUCGUAUUCAGAGUUGGUUUACGCACCUACCUUUCAACAUUAAAUCCUGACGGCAUGUACUUUGAAUAUUCCUCUAAAUGUUUGCUGCAAUACAUUAACCCUAUGGAAUCACUGGAUGCGCCGAUGCGUCCAAAUCAGUCCCAUCAUAUUCUUGCAAACAACUCUGAGACGAUGGCAGGUAGAAACAACCCCGAGAAAGAGUGGAUGGUUAUGUCCAUAUCCUAACCAGAAGUAGAGAUAUCUCGUUUUAAAUAUGAGACAAAAUUAUUUACUUACUGUGUGGCUGUUAAUUUAGGAAGGAACAAUGCUUCUGUGCAUUAUUUACCAUAUUUUGAUGUUAUAAAAUGUGGAAAAAAGAAAAAAAAAAGCUCUGGAAUCUGCUGGAUAUGAACUAAUUGAUGUAUUUACUCAGAAGAGUCCCUUAACCAAUUAGAUUUCGUAAUCUUAGUCACCUGAUUCCCUUGAUGAGACAGAUGUACUACCGCUCACUCAAUAGUGACGGGCAGAACGGAGCUUUUGUGACUGUAACUCAUUUGAAGCUAAAAUGAUUGGGAGCAUUUGACACCGAGCUCUAUGCUGACAUCUGUUGGUCAAUAAAAAUUCUUACACCUU